GAUGAACGCUAGCGGCAGGCUUAACACAUGCAAGUCGAGGGGUAUUGGUUUUCGGACCAAGAGACCGGCGCACGGGUGCGUAACGCGUAUGCAAUCUACCUUUUGCAGAGGGAUAGCCCAGAGAAAUUUGGAUUAAUACCUCAUAGUAUAGUACUUUGGCAUCAAGGAACUAUUAAAGUCACAACGGCAAAAGAUGAGCAUGCGUCCCAUUAGCUAGUUGGUAAGGUAACGGCUUACCAAGGCUACGAUGGGUAGGGGUCCUGAGAGGGAGAUCCCCCACACUGGUACUGAGACACGGACCAGACUCCUACGGGAGGCAGCAGUGAGGAAUAUUGGACAAAUGGGCGCAAGCCUGAUCCAGCCAUGCCGCGUGCAGGAUGACGGUCCUAUGGAUUGUAAACUGCUUUUAUACAGGAAGAAACACUCCGACGUGUCGGAGCUUGACGGUACUGUAAGAAUAAAGGAGUCGGCCUAAACUCCC
rnacentral:rRNA from 1 species